rnacentral:piRNA from 1 species
UGAACACGACACAACACUUUAGAGUCCUA